CAGUGUGAAUGCUGGGUGAAGUCUGUCGUCGUUCUCUACAUCCUGCUGGCAGCUUGUUGUGUGGUAUUGGCAGCCUUCCUUUUCCAGGCAUUUACAAAGUGCUCUGAAAUGUCUGCUGAAAUCCAGCACCUGAAAAUACAACAGUCACUCCUGAGGAACCACAGCUCUCAAUUGGCCUCUGAACUUGAGCACCUGGAAAAGGAUCAGUCCCUCCUCAGGAAAAACUGCUCUGAAAUUUCAACAGAAAUCCAUCACCUGAGAGAGGAACAGACGAAUAUGAAAAGAAACG